rnacentral:rRNA from 1 species
CGGCGUGCCUAGAAAUGCAAGUCGAACGGGGUUAGCAAUACCUAGUGGCGAACGGUCGCGUAACACGUAAGCAACCUGCCUCAGAGUGGGGGAUAACAGUCCGAAAGGAUUGCUAAUACCGCAUGUGGUUCACGGAUGGCAUCAUCUGUGAUCCAAAGCCUAGUGCGCUUUGAGAUGGGCUUGCGGCCUAUCAGGUAGUUGGUGGGGUAAUGGCCUACCAAGCCGACGACGGGUAGCUGGUCUGAGAGGACGAUCAGCCGGAUUGGGACUGAGAUACGGCCCAGACACCUACGGGGGGCAGCAAUUAGGAAUCUUGCGCAAUGGGGGCAACCCUGACGCAGCGACGCCGCGUGAAGGAUGAAGGAUUUCGGUCUGAAUCGAAUUCCCGCGA